rnacentral:lncRNA from 1 species
CAUGGUCAAUCUUAAUGUGCCUCAGCUCUCCAAAAGUCUGGUAGUCAAGUCUUCAUCUCCAUGAAGUCUACCAUGAAUGCUUGAUUUAAAUUUAAAAUAAAAAAAAUAUUUUUUAUCUAUUCUCAAAUAUUUUUUUUUAUUAUUUUACAUCUACAUAUAAAAAUCCAAUCUAUAGUUAGAAACAUAGAAAAGAAAAGGUUC